GGCUUAGCAUGAAACUCGGCGCAAGCAGCGAGCCUACUGAUCGCGCUCGGCCUCAGCCUGCGCCAUGCCAACGCCCCGAAUCAACUCACAUAUUCCAGCACCACCGCCAGGACAAGCGUCCUGCUCCGAGCUAGCGCCGCUGCCGGACUCCAGGGCUGUCUCGGCAGGACACGCAGAAUUCCUUGGAUGAAUCAGAAGCACUGGGAGCAUUUGCUGAUGUCCGUGGGAGGAAGGCACAAGCCACCAAGGCCCCGUUCCCUCCAUCUUGAGCUUUCCGUGGUGAUUUGCAGCAGCAGCAGCACAGGGAAGUAUGAUGCACCGAGGGACUGAAGUCAGUGUUUAAAUCUGACUUCGCUUCGCUGUAAAUGACCGUGCAAGAUUCAGAUCAGCAGAGGACCAGGGGUAGAAUAUCAGAAGUACUUAAGGUGCCUCUUUUAAAAGUUCUGGCUUGCCUAGCUAAAGGUGAAGGAGCGAUUUAGAAAGCAUGUUGAUAUUUACUGUCCUAAGAUAACGUGGACCAUCACUUUCUGCUAUGUACAGUUACCUCUUGGCUGAAUCUCUAUCACCUUUUGGGUUCAGGGGAGCUUUACUGGUUUAAGUUAGUUAAGGAACUAACCCAGCUAAGUUUUAAAUCAUAGGAAUAAUACUCACCCCCUCAGUCAGAUUUGCCCUUCAUGUUACUUGUGUUUCAUAAUCCUCCUAGCUCUCCAUUUCAUCAUUACAAGACCAGCAUUUCUGUUGGGGGGGGAGGAGAAAAAAAAGAAAGGAGGAAGAAAAGCUCCCCUUAAAAGACAGUAUUUUUCAAAUCUGGUCUGUAUUUUCAUACUUAAAUAAAUUUAGGGCACAAGC